GACAGAGGGUGCAAACGUUGCUCGGAAUUACUGGGCGUAAAGAGCGUGUAGGCGGCUUGGCAAGUCUGGUGUGAAAUCUUGCGGCUCAACCGCAAGCGGUCACUGGAAACUGCCUCGCUAGAGUCCGGAAGAGGAGAGCGGAAUUCCUGGUGUAGCGGUGGAAUGCGCAGAUAUCAGGAAGAACACCCGUGGCGAAGGCGGCUCUCUGGGACGGUACUGACGCUGAGACGCGAAAGCGUGGGGAGCGAACAGG
rnacentral:rRNA from 1 species